UGUAAAAUAGCAUCAAUGGAAUUUGUAAAUAAUUUAAAAUUAUUAAAACAUCCACAUAUUUGCGU